GAUGAACGCUGGCGGCGUGCCUAAUACAUGCAAGUCGAGCGAACGGACGAGAAGCUUGCUUCUCUGAUGUUAGCGGCGGACGGGUGAGUAACACGUGGAUAACCUACCUAUAAGACUGGGAUAACUUCGGGAAACCGGAGCUAAUACCGGAUAAUAUUUUGAACCGCAUGGUUCAUUAGUGAAAGACGGUCUUGCUGUCACUUAUAGAUGGAUCCGCGCUGCAUUAGCUAGUUGGUAAGGUAACGGCUUACCAAGGCAACGAUGCAUAGCCGACCUGAGAGGGUGAUCGGCCACACUGGAACUGAGACACGGUCCAGACUCCUACGGGAGGCAGCAGUAGGGAAUCUUCCGCAAUGGGCGAAAGCCUGACGGAGCAACGCCGCGUGAGUGAUGAAGGUCUUCGGAUCGUAAAACUCUGUUAUUAGGGAAGAACAUAUGUGUAAGUAACUGUGCACAUCUUGACGGUACCUAAUCAGAAAGCCACGGCUAACUACGUG
rnacentral:rRNA from 1 species